rnacentral:rRNA from 1 species
CAGCAGUCGAGAAUCUUCGGCAAUGGACGAAAGUCUGACCGAGCGACGCCGCGUGCGGGAUGAAGGCCUUCGGGUUGUAAACCGCUGUCAGUGGGGAGGAAGGUCCUGUGAAGAGCAGGAUUUGACCUAUCCGCAGAGGAAGUGAGGGCUAAGCUCGUGCCAGCAGCCGCGGUAAGACGAGCCUCACAAACGUUAUUCGGAAUUACUGGGCUUAAAGGGUGCGUAGGCGGCGCGGAAAGUUGGGUGUGAAAUCCCUCGGCUUAACCGAGGAAUUGCGCUCAAUACUACCGUGCUCGAGGGAGAUAGAGGAAUGCGGAACUUACGGUGGAGCGGUGAAAUGCGUUGAUAUCGUAGGGAACACCGGUGGCGAAAGCGGCAUUCUGGAUCUCUUCUGACGCUGAGGCACGAAAGCUAGGGUAGCAACACGGGAUUAGAUACCCCAGUAGUCCUAGCCGUAAACGAUGGAUACUAGGCGCUGUGCGUAUCGACCCGUGCAGUGCUGUAGCUAACGCGUUAAGUAUCCCGCCUGGGGAGUACGUUCGCAAGAAUGAAACUCAAAGGAAUUG